AGAGGGUGUACGGCCACAUCGGGACUGAGAUACGGCCCAGACUCCUACGGGAGGCAGCAGUGGGGAAUAUUGCACAAUGGGCGCAAGCCUGAUGCAGCGACGCCGCGUGGGGGAUGAAGGUCUUCGGGUUGUAAACUCCUUUCGCUAGGGACGAAGCUUUUUGUGACGGUACCUAGAUAAGAAGCACCGGCUAACUACGUGCCAGCAGCCGCGGUAAUACGUAGGGUGCGAGCGUUGUCCGGAAUUACUGGGCGUAAAGGGCUCGUAGGUGGUUUGUCGCGUCGUCUGUGAAAUUCUGGGGCUUAACUCCGGGCGUGCAGGCGAUACGGGCAUAACUUGAGUGCUGUAGGGGUAACCGGAAUUCCUGGUGUAGCGGUGAAAUGCGCAGAUAUCAGGAGGAACACCGAUGGCGAAGGCAGGUUACUGGGCAGUUACUGACGCUGAGGAGCGAAAGCAUGGG
rnacentral:rRNA from 1 species